rnacentral:lncRNA from 1 species
GCCUCAGUUCCUUGAAAAUGUGGACUUCUCUGCAGGCCUUCUGGAGUGUCCUCCUGACAGCAACUGGCCUUUCCCAGAGAGAGUGAUCCAACAGAGAGAGCAAGUAGGAUAUAGCUGCGCCUUUCAUGACAGCCUCAGAAGCCACAAAUCACCGUGUCUGCUAUGUUUUAUUCAUCAGAAGUGAGUCGCUGAGUCCAACCAUAUUCACAGGGAGGCAAAACUUGUUUUGUGACCUAUCAUAUGAUCUGUCUUGGAGAAUGUUCCAUGUACUGAUGAAAAGAAUGUACAUUCCGGAGGAGCCAAGAUAGGCGAAUAGGAACAGCUCCGGUCUACAGCUCCCAGCGCGAGUGACGCAGAAGACGGGUGGUUUCUGCAUUUCCAUCUGAGGUACCGGGUUCAUCUCACUAGGGAGUGCCAGACAGUGGGCACAGGACCUCAGAUGGACAGAAUUCAACUCAUCACAUUUCUUGGUUCUUGACACGCUCUCCUCGUUAGUCCAUCACAUAUUGCACGGAUUCAUUCAUAUCGCUGCAUGUAGGCUGCUUUGACCUGCUGUAGAAUAUCUCAUUGUGUGGAUGCACAUGUGGAUCACUGAGUAUGUCAGAGCUGGCAAGAUACGUCAGAAGAGAAAGGAGAAACUCUUAACUAAAUAGAGUUGGAAAUAAAAUAAUUGUCUGUAUGGAAUAAGAUCAAAGGUCCCACAUGUUAAAGUCAACCCCAGAUGAAUUAAAGUCUUACAUGUCAAAAAAAAUUGAAACUUUUAGAAGAAAAUUAAGGUGGAUAUAUUUUAGACCUUAAGGUAGAGAAAGAUUUCUUAAAGAAGACACUUACAGGAUUGAUUACAAACAAAAAGACUGGUACAUUUGAAUGUAUUAUGUUAAGAACUUUUCCACCAAAAGAAAGCCUCGAUUUCCUCAUUUUUAAGAUGAGGAUAAUAAUCCCUACCUUAUAGAAUUCUAAUAAGAUGAAAUGAAGCAACAUAUACAAAAUACUUAGCACAGAUCCUAACACCUACAAAAUAAUAAAUGGUAACGAUUAUUAUUCUUCUCAAACAACAAUCCUAUUAUUUAUCAAAUAAUACUGAGUAAUAUGACAAGACAUAUUUAAACCACACAAGCCAUAUGCAGACAAGUGUUUAAUAUCAUAGUGAUAGUUUCAAGAGAGAGAUAAUAAUUUAUUCUACAUUUAUCAGAGGUCUAUAGCCCAGUAGUCAAUAAAUACUUAUCUAUAGUCAAUAAGUACUAUCAAGCAUCCAUGCCAGGAACCAUGCUAGGGGCUGAUUAAUUUACAUCAAUCACCAUGACUUUUUUCCCACAAACUAACACACACACAAUCUUCAUAGAUUUUUCUGUGAUCACAGCAAGGAAAAGACCUACGCAUGUUUGGAUCAUCUGUGUACAGUCCUACAGAAGAACUUUGACACUAUCAGAGACAGAAAUCUCAGAAUAGUCCAACUCUCACUUAUUUGUGCUAAUGAAAGAGUAAAGUAAAAGAGACAAUUAAAAUGG